rnacentral:rRNA from 1 species
GCAGCCGCGGUAAUUCCAGCUCCAAUAGCGUAUAUUAAAGUUGUUGCAGUUAAAAAGCUCGUAGUUGAAUUUCGGGGUUCCACCGUUGGUCGGGCUAUUGUCUGUACUGGCGUAUGGAAUUUCUACCUUCUGGGGAACUAUCAUGUUAUUAAUUUAACGUGGUGGGAAACCAGGACCUUUACCUUGAAAAAAUUAGAGUGUUCAAAGCAGGCUUAUGUCUGAAUACAUUAGCAUGGAAUAAUAAAAUAGGACGGUGGUCCUGUUUUGUUGGUUUCUGAAUCACCGUAAUGAUUAAUAGGGAUAGUUGGGGGCAUUAGUAUUCAAUUGUCAGAGGUGAAAUUCUUGGAUUUAU